GCUGUGGGACUGCAUGUUUGACUGCCAAGCUAGAGUAUGUCAGAGGGGGGUAGAAUUCCACGUGUAGCAGUGAAAUGCGUAGAGAUGUGGAGGAAUACCGAUGGCGAAGGCAGCCCCCUGGGAUAAUACUGACGCUCAUGCACGAAAGCGUGGGGAGCAAACAGG
rnacentral:rRNA from 1 species